rnacentral:rRNA from 1 species
UACGUAAGAGACUAGUGUUAUUCAUCUUAAUUAGGUUUAAAGGGUACCUAGACGGUCAAUAUAGCUUCUAGAAUGUUAGUACUUGACUAGAGUUUUAUGUAAGAGGGCAGUACUUGAGGAGGAGAGAUGAAAUUCUAUGAUACCAAAGGGACUCGGUAAAGGCGAAGGCAGCCCUCUAUGUAAAAACUGACGUUAAAGGACGAAGGCACAGAGCACAAACAGG